rnacentral:rRNA from 1 species
CCUACGGGAGGCAGCAGUGAGGAAUAUUGGUCAAUGGGCUUACCCCUGAACCAGCCAAGUCGCGUGAGGGAAGACUGCCCUAUGGGUUGUAAACCUCUUUUGUCAGGGAGCAACGCCGGCUACGUGUAGCCGGACUGAGAGUACCCGAAGAAAAAGCAUCGGCGAUCUCCGUGCCAGCGGCCGCGUUAAUACGGAGGAUGCGAGCGUUAUCGGGAUUUAUUGGGUUUAAAGGGUGCGUAGGCGGAAUGCAAAGUCAGUGGUAAAAGCGCGGGGCUAACCCUCGCACCGCGGUUGAAACUGGGGGUCGUGAGUGGGCGGGAGGUAGGCGGAAUGCGUGGUGUAGCGGUGAAAUGCUUAGAUAUCACGAAGAACUCCGAUUGCGAAGGCAGCAUACCGGAGCCCAACUGACGCUGAAGCACGAAAGCGUGGGUAUCGAACAGGAUUAGAUACCCUUGUAGUC